AUGGCACGGCAGCCAGCCGCGAUCUUGCGCAUCGUCGUCAUCCUCACCGUCGUCUCCGUCGCCGCCGCCGGCCGCGCCCUCCACCAGGUCCAGCCACCUGCUACCCCCGCAGCGGCAGCAUUUUUCCCGCCGCCCACUUCCCCUGCAGCGGGGCCGGGACUCCAAACACCGCCGCCGCCUCCGGUGCCCGCUGGGACCUCAGCGAUUCUUCAGCAGCCACCAGCCGACCAGCAGCAGGGCCCGGCCGCAGCCCCGUACUGCUACUACAUUCAUGUCACCAGGGUCGGGCUCCUCUGCGUGCUGGUCUCGUUCAUGUCAGGCUGCUUUCUCAGCGCGCUCUUUAUCGUCUGCGUCUCGCGCUCGACGAGGGCGGCGGCGGCAGCACGGCCGGAAGACGUCGAGGAGGAAGGUGCUAGUGUGGAGAACGGCGCCAUGCAGUGUCUGUCCUGUCUCACUAGAGUUGCGGCAGGUGUAUGA
rnacentral:rRNA from 1 species